rnacentral:rRNA from 1 species
GAUGAACGCUGGCGGCGUGCCUAAUACAUGCAAGUCGAGCGAACGGACGAGAAGCUUGCUUUUCUGAUGUUAGCGGCGGACGGGUGAGUAACACGUAGAUAACCUACCUAUAAGACUGGGAUAACUUCGGGAAACCGGAGCUAAUACCGGCUAAUAUUUUGAACCGCAUGGUUCAAAAGUGAAAGACGGUCUUGCUGUCACUUAUAGAUGGAUCCGCGCUGCAUUAGCUAGUUGGUAAGGUAACGGCUUACCAAGGCAACGAUGCAUAGCCGACCUGAGAGGGUGAUCGGCCACACUGGAACUGAGACACGGUCCAGACUCCUACGGGAGGCAGCAGUAGGGAAUCUUCCGCAAUGGGCGAAAGCCUGACGGAGCAACGCCGCGUGAGUGAUGAAGGUCUUCGGAUCGUAAAACUCUGUUAUUAGGGAAGAACAUAUGUGUAAGUAACUGUGCACAUCUUGACGGUACCUAAUCAGAAAGCCACGGCUAACUACGUG